UUGUGGAGGAGGACGCUGAAGGUGGGGCUAAUGACUGGGGUGAAGUCGUAACAAGGUAGCCGUACCGGAAGGUGCGGCUGGAUCACCUCCUAACAGGGAGACAACAAAAUGUUUAAUAUUAUUAUUUUGUCACCUUAGGUCGAUCGGUAUCUCACGUUUUUAAUUUAUUAAGAAUUUCAUUUCCUAAGUUUUUCUAGGUCACACCCAUUAUUUUCCCUGGGCCAUUAGCUCAGGUGGUUAGAGCGCACCCCUGAUAAGGGUGAGGUCCCUGGUUCAAGUCCAGGAUGGCCCAUAUCUCUAUGUUGGGGGUAUAGCUCAGUUGGUAGAGCGCCUGCUUUGCAAGCAGGAUGUCAGCGGUUCGAGUCCGCUUACCUCCACUGAUUACCACCUCUUCCAUAAUUUGUAAAAGGGAAAUUUUUGAGUCGUGAUCAAAUUCUGAACGAAUCUAGCUUCCUAAUGAAAUUAUUAAGAUGCUGGACUCAUUGAAUUAAUUUCAUUGUUUUCAGAGAACCUUGACAACUGCAUAGAUUAUUUUUAAAGACAAUAAGCAUCUUUAAUGAUGCAGAUUUAUUAUUUGUGCGAAUGCAUUAAUAACAAUUCUAUUAAGCUGAUGCUUCAAUUUUGAAGUUAUUGGUCAAGCUACAA
rnacentral:misc_RNA from 1 species